CAGAGCAGAAGUAUCUGGCCUGUGCUAUUAUCUUUUUGCUGUGGACUCCUCCCUGCAGACUGACAGGUUUCCUAAGACUGAGCACCAGCUAUCGUAAAAUGUUUCUGAUGAGUUCAGUUCUGAAGAAAAGGUGGCUGACACCCACCUCUAUUGAACCAUGG
rnacentral:lncRNA from 14 species